GACGAACGCUGGCGGCGUGCCUAAUACAUGCAAGUAGAACGCUGAAGAGAGGAGCUUGCUCUUCUUGGAUGAGUUGCGAACGGGUGAGUAACGCGUAGGUAACCUGCCUUGUAGCGGGGGAUAACUAUUGGAAACGAUAGCUAAUACCGCAUAACAAUGGAUGACACAUGUCAUUUAUUUGAAAGGGGCAAUUGCUCCACUACAAGAUGGACCUGCGUUGUAUUAGCUAGUAGGUGAGGUAACGGCUCACCUAGGCGACGAUACAUAGCCGACCUGAGAGGGUGAUCGGCCACACUGGGACUGAGACACGGCCCAGACUCCUACGGGAGGCAGCAGUAGGGAAUCUUCGGCAAUGGGGGCAACCCUGACCGAGCAACGCCGCGUGAGUGAAGAAGGUUUUCGGAUCGUAAAGCUCUGUUGUAAGUCAAGAACGAGUGUGAGAGUGGAAAAUUCACACUGUGACGGUAGCUUACCAGAAAGGGACGGCUAACUACGUGCCAGCAGCCGCGGUAAUACGUAGGUCCCGAGCGUUGUCCGGAUUUAUUGGGCGUAAAGCGAGCGCAGGCGGUUUGAUAAGUCUGAAGUUAAAGGCUGUGGCUCAACCAUAGUUCGCUUUGGAAACUGUCAAACUUGAGUGCAGAAGGGGAGAGUGGAAUUCCAUGUGUAGCGGUGAAAUGCGUAGAUAUAUGGAGGAACACCGGUGGCGAAAGCGGCUCUCUGGUCUGUAACUGACGCUGAGGCUCGAAAGCGUGGGGAGCGAACAGGAUUAGAUACCCUGGUGGUCCACGCCGUAAACGAUGAGUGCUAGGUGUUGGAUCCUUUCCGGGAUUCAGUGCCGCAGCUAACGCAUUAAGCACUCCGCCUGGGGAGUACGACCGCAAGGUUGAAACUCAAAGGAAUUGACGGGGGCCCGCACGAGCGGUGGAGCAUGUGGUUUAAUUCGAAGCAACGCGAAGAACCUUACCAGGUCUUGACAUCCCGAUGCUAUUUCUAGAGAUAGAAAGUUACUUCGGUACAUCGGUGACAGGUGGUGCAUGGUUGUCGUCAGCUCGUGUCGUGAGAUGUUGGGUUAAGUCCCGCAACGAGCGCAACCCCUAUUGUUAGUUGCCAUCAUUCAGUUGGGCACUCUAGCGAGACUGCCGGUAAUAAACCGGAGGAAGGUGGGGAUGACGUCAAAUCAUCAUGCCCCUUAUGACCUGGGCUACACACGUGCUACAAUGGUUGGUACAACGAGUUGCGAGUCGGUGACGGCAAGCUAAUCUCUUAAAGCCAAUCUCAGUUCGGAUUGUAGGCUGCAACUCGCCUACAUGAAGUCGGAAUCGCUAGUAAUCGCGGAUCAGCACGCCGCGGUGAAUACGUUCCCGGGCCU
rnacentral:rRNA from 1 species